rnacentral:rRNA from 1 species
UACAGAGGGUGCGAGCGUUAAUCGGAAUUACUGGGCGUAAAGCGCGCGAGGCGGUUUUGUAAGUCGGGUGUGAAAUCCCCCAAGCUUAACUUGGGAACUGCAUUCGAGACUGCAUAGCUAGAGUAUGGGAGAGGGAAGUGGAAUUUCAGGUGUAGCGGUGAAAUGCGUAGAUAUCUGAAGGAACAUCAGUGGCGAAAGCGACUUCCUGGACCAAUACUGACGCUCAUGUGCGAAAGCGUGGGGAGCAAACAGG